UCUGUCAAGCUAUCCUUCAAGGUUAAAUCUUUAAAAAAUGAAAUGAAAUUAUUGUUAUGCAUAAUAAAAAUCCCAUGGAAUUCCAGCCUUUUGUCAGGAAUAGUUGGAGGUAAAGUGGGAAUUUUAUAUUGUGAGAAAAUGAAUAUUACCACAAAUACCUGUGAGAAGUUUAAACAGGUAAUCUUUAGUCAGUGCUUUCUUUUUCCUUCUCAGAUAUUGGCCAAUAGAUGCUGCUUUAAGGAUCUGGUUACAGUAACUGUUUUCAUUGCUGUGUUCAGAAAAUGUGACCUCACUAGAGGAGCAGCACUGGUACAGGGACUACCAGGGCCCAGCAUCAGCAGAUAUCGGUGGACAUGCAGGCUCUGGCUGGGGACUGGCAUCGUGGGGUGUAAGCAGAGCAGCAGGACUGACGUGUCGUGGGGAACAAUGAAGUCAAGAGCUCCAAUUCUUCUUGGAAAGGGAAUUUGUGGAACAGAGGCAACCAACUGGGCAUCUUCUGCCCAUGGCAGCACAGCGAUGAAGCUGGGCCUGGCAUGGAAGGGAAAACACCCCACCAGGCAGCAGGACAUCUGACUGCCCGGACAACAGGAUCUCUGAAGGCAAACUUGAGGCUAAAAGUCUGGGCAGUAACUCCAGCUCUGGUUCUGGCAGUGACAACUAAUGAACCCGUGUCUCACUUUACCUUACACAGCAGUGAGGAGCUGGCUGUCUGAAGUGGGGGUGAGGAGGUGGCUUGCUGCAGCAGCGGCAUGCUGCUGACUGGAUGCAGCAGUGAAAGGCCGACUGUGUACUGCAAGGAUCUGGACAUCACACAGUCUCCCAAAAAUUUGACCGCAUACUCUGUGUGACUCAGAUUAGAUAAAACAACCCAAUUAACCUGAAUCUGGACUGACCUGUUCCUUUCAAGGGUGAAAGAAGUAGCCCAUUAUCCAUGAAGCCCAAAAACCUGGAAUUAAAACUCCUCGUAAUAGCUGAACUUUGCGGCUGAACUUUGUGUCCAUGUCAUGCUUUCAUAUUAAGCUGUGUAGAAUGUGGAGUGUUUAUUUUGCAGACCCAAAAGCAGGACCCAGGAAGUUGAAGUUAAAAUGUAAGAGAAGUUUAAAUCCAGAGUACAAGAGAACAAAGGACAAGAAAAGAUUAAGACAAUAUAUAUGCAGUGGGUUUGGUUAGAAGAUGUUCCAUUCCUGCAUGGUGUCUGUGAAUGCAGCAUGGACCUUUUCCCCGUCCCCUAGCUCACUAAUCAGAGGUUGGUUAUAAGGAGCAGCUGUGGCUUAUUCACUGACUCCUGGCAUUUGGUACUCAUUCCUGUCAUAUAUGGUAGUUAUGAUCACAGCGUGAACUUAGCAUUGUAGAUCUGAUUCAUUCCCCCUGCCGAUUGUUUGGCUAUGUAACUGUACAGUGUGGUCUACCCUGCUGCUGCCUUGUUGUUUUUAACUUUUGUUUUAAUCUUGUUGUGUGCUGUUUGUAUGCGCCUCUGCUCUGCUGCACUUUGUUGGUAUCCAGCAUGGGUGUGCCUUAUGGUACUUUUAACUGGAUUAAAGGUGUUAUACAUACUGUUGUUUUUAUAUUUUCUACUGAGUUGUGCUACUUGUGUUAGUUUUAUUUUACUUUUGUUUUAGUGAAGAGGUUGUAGGCUACCUCGCAAGUGGCUCAUCUUUAACUGUAUUAAUUAUUUUGUGGAACUGCAAUUUUAAUUAGAGCAACACAGUGGCAUGAAUUUUGUUUAUAAGCAAUG